UCAUCCUCGAAAAGCAAUCAUUUCUAGUAAUCCUUGAGUCGUACACAUUUCUCAGAAAUAUGAGAUUCAUUUUCGUAGCUUUCCUUGUGGCGUGUUUGGUUUGUGGCAUCGUUGCCCAAAACAAUACAACGAAUACCACCACGCCAACCACGACUCGAGCACCUAUUCCAGGGUUCAGCCCGGUCCCAGCUCCCGCGUGGGCUGCAACCUACAGCCCAACUUGGCUACUGUUCGGUUAAUCUGCUAUCGUACGGCUUUUGAAUUUCGAAAUUGUUUUCACUUCUGUGUUCAUCUAUGAACUAUGUAUUGGCCAAUUUUCUAUCCGUGUUUGAAUAAUAAAUUAAAAUGCUCAUAUUA